rnacentral:rRNA from 1 species
CGAAAGUUGAAAGGAGUAAUCCGUCUAAAGAUGAGCCCGCGUCCGAUUAGCUAGUUGGUAGAGUAAAAGCCUACCAAGGCGACGAUCGGUAGCUGGUCUGAGAGGAUGAUCAGCCACAAUGGGACUGAGACACGGCCCAUACCCCUACGGGAGGCAGCAGUGGGGAAUUUUACGCAAUGGGCGAAAGCCUGACGUAGCGACACCGCGUGAGCGAAGAAGCCCCUUGGGGUGUAAAGCUCUGUCAGCUGGAACGAAAAAAUGACGGUACCAGCAGAGGAAGCAUCGGCUAACUACGUG